rnacentral:rRNA from 1 species
GAGAAUGCCGGUGUGAGUAGCGAAAGACGGGUGAGAAUCCCGUCCACCGAUUGACUAAGGUUUCCAGAGGAAGGCUCGUCCGCUCUGGGUUAGUCGGGUCCUAAGCUGAGGCCGACAGGCGUAGGCGAUGGAUAACAGGUUGAUAUUCCUGUACCACCUAUAAUCGUUUUAAUCGAUGGGGGGACGCAGUAGGAUAGGCGAAGCGUGCGAUUGGAUUGCACGUCUAAGCAGUAAGGCUGAGUAUUAGGCAAAUCCGGUACUCGUUAAGGCUGAGCUGUGAUGGGGAGAAGACAUUGUGUCUUCGAGUCGUUGAUUUCACACUGCCGAGAAAAGCCUCUAGAUAGAAAAUAGGUGCCCGUACCGCAAACCGACACAGGUAGUCAAGAUGAGAAUUCUAAGGUGAGCGAGCGAACUCUCGUUAAGGAACUCGGCAAAAUGACCCCGUAACUUCGGGAGAAGGGGUGCUCUUUAGGGUUAACGCCCAGAAGAGCCGCAGUGAAUAGGCCCAAGCGACUGUUUAUCAAAAACACAGGUCUCUGCUAAACCGUAAGGUGAUGUAUAGGGGCUGACGCCUGCCCGGUGCUGGAAGGUUAAGAGGAGUGGUUAGCUUCUGCGAAGCUACGAAUCGAAGCCCCAGUAAACGGCGGCCGUAACUAUAACGGUCCUAAGGUAGCGAAAUUCCUUGUCGGGUAAGUUCCGACCCGCACGAAAGGCGUAACGAUUUGGGCACUGUCUCAACGAGAGACUCGGUGAAAUCAUAGUACCUGUGAAGAUGCAGGUUACCCGCGACAGGACGGAAAGACCCCGUGGAGCUUUACUGUAGCCUGAUAUUGAAAUUCGGCACAGCUUGUACAGGAUAGGUAGGAGCCUUUGAAACGUGAGCGCUAGCUUACGUGGAGGCGCUGGUGGGAUACUACCCUAGCUGUGUUGGCUUUCUAACCCGCACCACUUAUCGUGGUGGGAGACAGUGUCAGGCGGGCAGUUUGACUGGGGCGGUCGCCUCCUAAAAGGUAACGGAGGCGCUCAAAGGUUCCCUCAGAAUGGUUGGAAAUCAUUCAUAGAGUGUAAAGGCAUAAGGGAGCUUGACUGCGAGACCUACAAGUCGAGCAGGGUCGAAAGACGGACUUAGUGAUCCGGUGGUUCCGCAUGGAAGGGCCAUCGCUCAACGGAUAAAAGCUACCCCGGGGAUAACAGGCUUAUCUCCCCCAAGAGUUCACAUCGACGGGGAGGUUUGGCACCUCGAUGUCGGCUCAUCGCAUCCUGGGGCUGUAGUCGGUCCCAAGGGUUGGGCUGUUCGCCCAUUAAAGCGGUACGCGAGCUGGGUUCAGAACGUCGUGAGACAGUUCGGUCCCUAUCCGUCGUGGGCGUAGGAAAUUUGAGAGGAGCUGUCCUUAGUACGAGAGGACCGGGAUGGACAUACCUCUGGUGUACCAGUUGUCGUGCCAACGGCAUAGCUGGGUAGCUAUGUGUGGACGGGAUAAGUGCUGAAAG